rnacentral:rRNA from 1 species
UCUGGUUGAUCCUGCCAGUAUUAUAUGCUGAUGUUAAAGAUUAAGCCAUGCAUGUGUAAGUAUAAAGACCAAGUAGGAUGAAACUGCGGACGGCUCAUUAUAACAGUAAUAGUUUCUUUGGUUAGUAAAGUACAAGGAUAGCUUUGUGAAUGAUAAAGAUAAUACUUGAGACGAUCCAAUUUGUAUUAGUACAAAGUGGCCAAUUUAUGUAAGUAAAUUGAGAAAUGACAUUCUAAGUGAGUUAGGAUGCCACGACAAUUGUAGAACACACAGUGUUUAACAAGUAACCAAUGAGAAUUUCUGAUCUAUCAAUCAGUUGGUAGUAUCGAGGACUACCAAGAUUAUAACGGAUAACGAGGAAUUGGGGUUCGACAUCGGAGAGGGAGCUUUACAGAUGGCUACCACUUCUAAGGAAGGCAGCAGGCGCGUAAAUUACCCACUUUCGAAUUGAAGAGGUAGUGACGACACAUAACUCUAGAGUUGAGUAAAAUCAAUUCUUGAAGGAAUGAGUAGGAGGUAAAUUCUCCUACGAAAUCAAUUGGAGGGCAAGUCUGGUGCCAGCAGCCGCGGUAAUUCCAGCUCCCAUAGUGUAUAUUAAAGUUGCUGUGAUUAAAACGCUCGUAGUUGAAUUAAAAUGUGAUUUUAUACAUUUUGAAGACUUUACAUUAAGUGAAGUUUCUAGAAAUGUUAAAUUAAAAUCAAAGAAGGAGACAAUUCAAGUAAUUGAGUUGUCAUUACUUUGAAUAAAAUAAGGUGUUUAAAGCAAAACAUUAUGUUAAUGAAUAUUCAAGCAUGGGACAAUGCUGAGGAGAUGUCAAUUAGACAUUUCGAGAGAAGGAUUAAAAGGAACAAUUGGGGUGAUUCAGAAAAUAACGGGAGAGGUGAAAAUCCAUGAUCGCUAUAAGAUGCACGAGAGCGAAAGCAUUUCACUCAACUGGGUCCAUUAAUCAAGAACGAAAGUUAGGGGAUCGAAGACGAUCAGAUACCGUCGUAGUCCUAACUAUAAACGAUGUCAACCAAGGAUUGGAUGAAAUUCAGAUGUACAAAGAUGAAGAAACAUUGUUUCUAAAUCCAAGUAUAUCAAUACUACCUUGUUCAGAACUUAAAGAGAAAUCUUGAGUUUAUGGACUUCAGGGGGAGUAUGGUCACAAGGCUGAAACUUAAAGGAAUUGACGGAAGGGCACACCAGGAGUGGAGCCUGCGGCUUAAUUUGACUCAACACGGGAAAACUUACCAAGACCGAACAGUAGAAGGAAUGACAGAUUAAGAGUUCUUUCAUGAUUUAUUGGGUAGUGGUGCAUGGCCGUUCUUAGUUGGUGGAGUGAUUUGUCAGGUUAAUUCCGGUAACGAACGAGACUGAAACCUAUUAAUUAGUUUUCUGCCUAUAAGACAGAAAUGUUCGCAAGAACAGGUGCGUAAGUACCACAU